AGACAGGUAAAACCCUGUGGUUACUACUCAGACAGGUAAAACCCUGUGGUUACUACUCAGACAGGUAAAACCCUGUGGUUACUACUCAGACAGGUAAAACCCUGUGGUUACUACUCAGACAGGUAAAACCCUGUGGUUACUGCUCAGACAGGUAAAACCCUGUGGUUACUGCUCAGACAGGUAAAACCCUGUGGUUACUACUCAGACAGGUAAAACCCUGUGGUUACUGCUCAGACAGGUAAAACCCUGUGGUUACUGCUUGGCUGUGUUGAGGAAGUUAAUCAGUAAAGGACUACUCAGACAGGUAAAACCCUGUGGUUACCACUCAGACAGGUAAAACCCUGCGGUUACUACUCAGACAGGUAAAACCCUGUGGUUACUACUCAGACAGGUUAAACCCUGUGGUUACUACUCAGACAGGUAAAACCCUGUGGUUACUACUCAGACAGGUAAAACCCUGUGGUUACUACUCAGACAGGUAAAACCCUGU